AGCACUCCUACGGGAGGCAGCAGUGGGAAUAUUGCACAAUGGGCGCAAGCCUGAUGCAGCCAUGCCGCGUGUAUGAAGAAGGCCUUCGGGUUGUAAAGUACUUUCAGCAGUGAGGAAGGUGGGUAUGUUAAUAGCAUAUUCAUUUGACGUUAGCUGCAGAAGAAGCACCGGCUAACUCCGUGCCAGCAGCCGCGGUAAUACGGAGGGUGCGAGCGUUAAUCGGAAUUACUGGGCGUAAAGCGCAUGCAGGUGGUUUGUUAAGUCAGAUGUGAAAGCCCGGGGCUCAACCUCGGAAUUGCAUUUGAAACUGGCAAACUAGAGUACUGUAGAGGGGGUAGAAUUUCAGGUGUAGCGGUGAAAUGCGUAGAGAUCUGAAGGAAUACCGGUGGCGAAGGCGGCCCCCUGGACAGAUACUGACACUCAGAUGCGAAAGCGUGGGGAGCAAACAGGAUUAGAUACCCUGGUAG
rnacentral:rRNA from 1 species